rnacentral:lncRNA from 1 species
AGGCUUCGAUACGGUUCGUUGCUAUCCACAACUUAUAAACCAUCGGAGAUAUUUGUCCAAACAUUUAGCACCGAUCGUGUUAUAAUGAGUGGACAACUAGUUUUGGCAGGAUUGUACCCACCGGUUGGGAUUCAAAUUUGGAAAACCGAUAUGCUCUGGCAACCAAUUCCAAUUCAUUCUUUACCCGACUCUUGCGAUGAUAUGUUUCACGUGACUAAACACUGUAAGUUAUUAUCAAAAGAGAGAAGACAGAAUACUUUGGUGAUUCAAAAGAAACUGGAGGAGCAUCAGGAAUUUCUAGCCUACCUUUCAAAAUACACUGGGUUAGAUGUAAAAAAUGCCUCGCACCUGAGUGGCUUAUUUGAUAAUCUGUCGGUUGUGGAGCAACGAGGAUUAGCUUUACCGCAGUGGACACAAAUAUCUAUCCAAAGAAACUGGAAUCUCUAGCCGAAUUGAAGAUCAUGGAACGAUUUAAAACACCGACCAUGAUUAAACUCGAAUCAGGGGUUUUGAUAAACGAAAUCGUGUCAAAUAUGAUGCAAAAAGCAAAUGCGUCGAACAAUUUUGAGCGCCUGUUGAAUUUGUAUCCUGCAUCCGAUCGAAUAUUGAUACGUCUAUGGCGGGGUUUGAAUAUGUCCCAAGAAAUCACCAGCAAACCGUAUUAUGGAGCAGCUCUAUUUAUUGAACUGCAUGAAAUCGACGAAAAGUAUCGCGUAAAAGUUUUAUAUAAGAAGGGGACCAUGGAUGAUGAAUUAACAACUCUGAAAAUUCGAGGUUGUGAGGGUAACCACGACUUUGAAGAUGACGAGAUGUGCGAUUUAGACGUCUUUUCGUCAGCACUGGAACCUACGAUUAUCACUGACUUCGAUAAAACAUGUGAAAACUCAAGAUAAAUUCGAUGAUAUUUUGUAGCCUUUACUAUCGUCGUAUCAAAUGUGAUGAUCGGAAGGUUGUAUGAAAUAAAGUCGUCCUUGA